rnacentral:rRNA from 1 species
CCUACGGGGGGCAGCAGUGAGGAAUAUUGGUCAAUGGGCGUAAGCCUGAACCAGCCAAGUCGCGUGAGGGAUGAAGGUUCUAUGGAUCGUAAACCUCUUUUAUAAGGGAAUAAAGUGCGGGACGUGUCCCGUUUUGUAUGUACCUUAUGAAUAAGGAUCGGCUAACUCCGUGCCAGCAGCCGCGGUAAUACGGAGGAUCCGAGCUUUAUCCGGAUUUAUUGGGUUUAAAGGGUGCGUAGGCGGGCUUUUAAGUCAGCGGGGAAAGUCUGUGGCGCAACCAUAGAAUUGCCGUUGAAACUGGGAGGCUUGAGUAGGUUUGAGGCAGGCGGAAUGCGUGGUGUAGCGGUGAAAUGCUUAGAUAUCACGCAGAACCCCGAUUGCGAAGGCAGCCUGCCAAGCCAUGACUGACGCUGAUGCACGAAAGCGUGGGGAUCAAACAGGAUUAGAUACCCUAGUAGUC